UCCCUGGUGGCUCAGAUGGUAAAGCGUCUGCCUACAAUGUGGGAGACCCAGGUUUGAUCCCUGGGUUGGGAA
rfam:TPA: Bos taurus chromosome X, whole genome shotgun sequence.